CACUGCAGGGCUGCAGCCUGGCGCACCCGCCAAGGUAGUGCUGCGGGUAGAGGGUCCGCAGGCCUUUUUUCCAGGGUCUUCAUGUCCCAAACAGAACUGGGCAAGACAGAAAAGCAAGCAAAAGUGUGUUCAUGGAUGGCAGAAAAGUACAUUCUGCAGACCGAGAGCCAACUGGUGGGAAGGCUCACAGCAUAAAGGAAAUGGGUCUUUUGAACCUAAAGUUCCAGGUUAUCUCCUCAUGCAAAUGAGGCACUGCAACAGUGUCCUAUCAGAUACUCGCUUGGAGUUGCCCUGUGUAAACCACCUAUCCAAAAGCUCCUUGGGGGGCUGGGGAUUUAGCUCAGUGGUUUCGCCGGCUGCCUCGCAAGCGCAAGGUCCCGAGUUCGAUACCUGGUACCAAAAAACAAAAAGCUCCUUGGCUUCUUGUUACGUGUAAAUACAGGACCCCAAAGUGUCUUUUGAUUGGUUGUGCCCGUAUGCAAAUGAGGAUGGAAAAGAGGAUCUGAUUGGUCCUGAGAACAGCACCAGCUUCAAAUGAGGAUUGAAAAUAGUGAAUUUCUGACUUCCAGCCUGAGUGAGGCUGAGACCUGGGCGGCGGGUGGUGGGAGCUGUCCUCAUCUCCAAUACCACGCCAGCUGCCUGAAUGCUGAGAAAGGAGGGAGGAGACCCCUAGCACCCUCAGAGGUUGUCUCUGCUCUUGAAGAACCCAGGCAGUGCCGAUGCCCCUGCUUGGCUGCCCUGCCUCUGGCAUCUUCACCUGUCAUUUUAAAACGGGACUGCGGAAGUUUGGAAAUCAGAUGUUAACAGUGGAAAGCCCUUUGGAGCCGCUUGAUACACAGCUGAGUUCCGGAAGAAAUGUUUCUGAGAGUGAAGACCACAAUCCACUUAAGUCGUAACUUCCUGUAUGAAUACAGUUUCCAGGUCAGAAACUCCGUGGUGGCUGUGGCCAGUGCAAGCUCAGAAGCCCGCCUGGUCGGGAGCAGGGUCAAAGCCCGCGUGCUGGCUGCGUCUGUGGUGCAGGCCACGCAGAGCUUCCUAGAACAGGGCGAGUAGAUGGCUAAGGAAAGGCAGGGUCUCGAGGAGAAGGGCAGCCGACUCGGGCGAUGAAGACGCGGCAGGCACAGGCCCUGGGUGCCAGGUCCCCCAGGAGGAGGACUUCCGGUCCGUGGGAGCCCUGUGGUCUGCUCUCCGAGGCCCGGGCCCUGCUGCCCCACGGCGGCCAUCUUGGGCCCGGGCUUCUGUGCGACGACACCUUGUAAAUACCAGGCUCCUGCUCACCGCAGGCAGACGUGCAAAGGCGGAGCCCCACUCAUGGUGCAGAUUUUCACUGCACAGGCUUGGGAGAUAUGACAGAUUGCCACAUUGAUCCUAAGAAAAAGCACGCAUUCAUUUAUUAACAGGUCUUGCUGUGUUCCCCAGGCUGGUACAGACUCCAGGGCUCAAGCCAUUCUCCUGCCUCAGCCUCCUGAGAAUUGAAUUUAAGACCUCGAGCUUGCCAGGCAGGCGCAGCCACCACCGAGCUACAUUUGUUGCCCCAAUAAUGAUUGUUUCUACCAAAAAAAUGAAGUCCUGAAUGUAGAACUCAAGUUUGUCUAACAAUCAAGAGAAAAAUCCAUUUCCCAAUAUUGGUCGCUGUUUCCACAGAGUAAGAGUGAGCAGAAUGUCCCAA